UUAGUUAUUUUCUUCAAAUCAAAUUUACGCUUCACUUCAGCCGUUCUCCAGUCCAGUGGUCCACCAUUUUCAUUUGUGCUUUUUUAAUAGAGCUUUAGUAUUCUGUGGCACUACGGCCUUGAAAGGAAACUUUGCUGCUUUUAUGACUCCAUCGUUGAUCGAAAGUACUGACAUCAAAAAUGAAAUCUACAUCAUCUAGUGUUUCUCCUAUGCUUUUCGGUGCUACCGAAACUCCUACUGAUCAUCCAAAUAAUUCAAAUGAAGCUGUAAAAACUGAUUAAUCAACUGCAGCUUCUUCAAGUAUUCCAUCGAGUCUUCAACAGCCUCCAAAAAUACAGGAGGUUGGGGAGCAAGAUUUUAAGUAUAGAGAUGAGCUUUCAAGUUCAAGAAUGAAGGGUCUACCUACAAAAUAAGAUUGGAAGCAUGCGCAUGCUUUAUAUGUUACUAGUAAUUUUUAUUUUCAUGUUGUGUUUGGUUUUGGAAUGAGAAUUAAUGACAAGCUAAAUGAUCCAAACUUAAGUAUAAAGCUUAUGGCUUCAAAUAUGAGGGAAAAAUAUCACAAGUAUUGGGGAAAUGUGAAAAAUCUUAAUCCACUCUUAUUCAUUUCUAUGAUUUUAGAUCCUAGACAUAAGAUGGAUUAUGUAAUCUUUGUGGUUGAAGAAGCUUUUAUGAUGCUAAAAAAGCUGAGCAGUUGAAUGAAAUUAUAAAAACAAACUUUAAAUGAGUUGUUUGAUCAUUAUAGUUUAUUGAGUGGUUUAUCCCAAGGUGAACCAAAUGUAAGUUUUCAAUCUAAUCUCUCUAGGUUUCAGAAUGAUGAGCAGCUUGAUUUAUUUUCUUAUUCCAAGACCAAAUAUAAAAGGAAGAGGGCUGAAAAUGUGUUUAGUGAAGGAAAAUCUAAACUUGAAAAGUAUUUAGCGAACAAAGUAGAAUCCGAUGAUAAGGAAAAUCUAAAUUUGAAAGUGUCUUUAAUGGCUCGAGAUAUUUUGGCAAUUCUUGGGUCUACAGUGGCUUCCAAAUCUGCUUUCAGCACUGAAGGUCGUGUUCUCGACCCAUUUCGGAGUUCGUUAACUCCAAAAUUGUUGAGUGUCUCAUUUGUACACAAAAUUGGCUGAGAUCAUCACCUGUAGCAAUCCAAAAAGAAGAAUAAAUUGAAGAAAUGGAGAACAUUGAGAGUGGUUUUGAAGAUCUAAAGCUAAAUGAAACAAUGAUGACUAUUGAUGAUUGAUGGAAGAUGAAACACUCGCAAGGUAAGUAAGAAAUUAGUAG